rnacentral:rRNA from 1 species
CCUACGGGAGGCAGCAGUGAGGAAUAUUGGUCAAUGGACGAGAGUCUGAACCAGCCAAGUAGCGUGAAGGAUGACUGCCCUAUGGGUUGUAAACUUCUUUUAUAUGGGAAUAAAAUGUUCCACGUGUGGGAUUUUGUAUGUACCAUAUGAAUAAGGAUCGGCUAACUCCGUGCCAGCAGCCGCGGUAAUACGGAGGAUCCGAGCGUUAUCCGGAUUUAUUGGGUUUAAAGGGAGCGUAGGUGGAUUGUUAAGUCAGUUGUGAAAGUUUGCGGCUCAACCGUAAAAUUGCAGUUGAAACUGGCAGUCUGGAGUACAGUAGAGGUGGGCGGAAUUCGUGGUGUAGCGGUGAAAUGCUUAGAUAUCACGAAGAACUCCGAUUGCGAAGGCAGCUCACUGGACUGCAACUGACACUGAGGCUCGAAAGUGUGGGUAUCAAACAGGAUUAGAUACCCCAGUC